UUGGGGAAAGUGGCGGACGGGUGAGUAACGCGUGGGUAACCUGCCUUACACAGGGGGAUAACACUUAGAAAUAGGUGCUAAAACCGCAUAAGCGCACAGCUUCGCAUGAAGCGGUGUGAAAAACUCCGGUGGUGUAAGAUGGACCCGCGUCUGAUUAGCUGGUUGGCGGGGUAACGGCCCACCAAGGCGACGAUCAGUAGCCGGCCUGAGAGGGUGAACGGCCACAUUGGGACUGAGACACGGCCCAAACUCCUACGGAAGGCAGCAG
rnacentral:rRNA from 1 species